GCUUUCAUGGUGCAGUGGUCAGCACACUCGACGCGUAUUCGAGAGGUCCGUGGUUCGAGUCCCGGCGAAGGCA
rfam:Stegodyphus mimosarum contig101261, whole genome shotgun sequence.